rnacentral:rRNA from 1 species
UACGUAGGGGGCAAGCGUUGUUCGGAAUUACUGGGCGUAAAGGGCGCGUAGGCGGCACAGCAAGUCGGGAGUGAAAGCCCGGGGCUCAACCCCGGAAUGGCUUUCGAAACUGCUGAGCUAGAGUACAGAAGGGGCAACCGGAAUUCCCAGUGUAGCGGUGAAAUGCGUAGAUAUUGGGAAGAACACCUGAGGCGAAGGCGGCUUGCUGGGCAUGAUCUGACGCUGAGGCGCGAAAGCGUGGGGAGCAAACAGG